AAAGAAUAAAAAAAAAAAAAUGUUACGGCUUAUGAGAAUUGAAGAACUUGAAUCUAAAAAAUGUAAUAGGGAAGCAUUUGAUAAAAAAGUUAGGUGGAUAUAUAUAAUUAUAAUGUGUGUUGUAAUGUGUGUGGUGUUUAGUUUAGGGAAGGAAAUUGACAAUAGGCCUAUGUAUCUGAACUAAUAUGUGUAAAUUGAAUAGAAGUUGUUGUUAAUGAACAUGCUUGUGUUGGUGGAUAUAAUAUGGGUAAAUUAUUGAGUUAUGAUAUAAUGUGGGUUAAUUAAACUUGAAUGCAACUGAUGUAUACUAAUAUGCAAAUUAAGGUGUAAUGGAAAAAACCUUAAUAGCAAUAAAGCUUAUUGUACACAAGAAUAAGUUCAUAAAAUACAAACUUAAAAUUUGACAAACUGCUACAAUAGUGUCUAGUAUAACUAAUCUGAACAUCAAUUUGAGUCAACAUAUAAUUCAAAUUGAUAUCAUUUCAACAACUAGAAAAUCCUUGUAUUACACAGCAACUAGUUCAUAAACAAAAAAAAAAAUGGCCUA
rnacentral:misc_RNA from 1 species